GCUCAUACCUUGAAAACUUACGUAGAGUUGAUCUUUAAGGUGCCACUGGAAUUAUUAAAAAAGAUUUUUUCAUCUUGUUAUUUAUUAUGACUAUGACAGAUCAACAUGGCCUUCCACCUGAAUCUGGUGUCAUUCGUAGUUGACCUCUCCCACGCACACUGUCUUAGGCGACUUAUUCCGGUUUUCAACUUCGGCUUUUGAUCUCAAAACGUUCUGUUUAUCACAGCUGAUUCCUCUGUUCGUCUUGAUUGGAAUCGGAGGGACCGGCCUGUGCACCAUGCGCCUUGCUCUUCGCAACCCUGAUGUCAGGUAAGUGCCACCCCUCAGGGCAGGAUCAGCCCUUGGCCUGGUGCUGACAACUGCCAUCCCCGCAAAACCACGUCACGUGCUCCCCGCCUCCCAGUGGCGCUGGGUGUCCUUCACUGAUGGAUGCGAGGCAGCGCUUUGGAAUGGGACCUCAGCUGGACUCCCAUCCGUGGCAGCUGCCCACUACUUUACGCAACUCAGAAUUAAUCACAGGGAUCCGUGGCCUGAGAGGAUGGGAGUGAGCUUGGCUUCUUUUCAGAAGCGACACUGCCACUGAAGAGCAUCUGGGGACCCAGUGCCAGGGACUGGUGGCCUGGCUGGGCCAGGCUGAUAAGCACCCUUCCAAGCUCCUUGGGGGCAGAGCUUUUGCCACUUCUUUAAGUGUUGCAUCUUAAAGCGCAACCUGAAUAAAAUAUGACCUGCUGUGCUCCAGAGGUAGCAUAAUAAUAAUAGUUAUAAAACAAAUUAUAAAACCACAGUAAAACAUGAGUGUCAGCUUCUUAGCUUUAGAGUAAGAAAGCCAACCAUAUAAGCAUUGCCAUUCCUCAGCCGAGUUGUAUCCAAGGCAUUGCAAUGAGCGGUACAGCAUAGCUAAAAGGGUAUUUGGGAAGAGAGUAAAGCCAAUGAACUGUCUCAGCAGAAAGCACAAAGUCUAUCAGGAACCUGUCAUGGAGAAAGUGUAGGAUUGGGUUGCCAGCAUCGAGUUCUGUCCAGCACUGCCUCACCAACUUGCCGCUGUCUCUGGUGCAAGGCAGUGAGAAGCUGCCCUUGCAUUUAUGUAACUGUGUGUUAACUGGCUUUAAAGGGCUUUUACAAAUACUUGGGGUACGGUGGCCUUUUUUUACAUCCCACAUUAUAAAAGAAGUGUGCUCUUCUGGUGGCACUGAGGAGGCCAUGAUUGUUAAAUUUGGUGGGAACCAUGUGCCAACAGUUGGGCAGAGCGUUACGCUUUAUGCUGUAUGUUUUUCUUCUUCUUCCAAAGAUGUACUCCUUGCUGUCUGCCUCUUGUCACGUUGCUCUGCCUGGCUGGGACAAAAAGAGCAACCCAGAGCCUUGGAACAAGCUGUGACCCAACGACCAGUUCAAGGUAUGGUAGGAAAUACUUAACUAGGGUUAUGAUGCUGGUUAUCUUAUAGGCCAGGGAUGGGGAGCCUGGUGUCCAGCAGAGAUUGUUGGGACUCCAACUCCCAUCAGCCCCAUCCCUGAAAUCUACGGAAGAUGGGUAAUAAUAAUAAUAAUAAUAAUAAUAAUAAUAAUGGCCAUUUGGUGGGAGGAAUAAUAAGCUUCAGCUUUGGAAGGCCUGGUGUGUGUGAUCACAGCAUUUGGGGUUGGACUAGAUGACCCUUGGGUUCCUUCUAUGAUUCUUCAUUCUCCUCUCCAGUGCAAUCUUCUAAACUCUGACUGAAUAAGCAGGAUAGAUCCCUGAGUUUCUGCCAUUGACUUGUGGUUCUUCCUGCAAAAUUGCUUUUAAGCCCAUUAAAGUUGAAUGAUUAGAGAUCCUUUCCUGCCACUUCCGAGUCACCUUCAAUGGUAGCCCCACGUAGAGCGCAUGGUAGUAGUCCAAGCUGGAGAUAACGCUUAACCGUGCUGCCCUCUUUCAGUUCUAUGCGGUGAAUGCAGACUAUGACAAGCUGAAAAAAGGAGCGCCCAGAUAUCUGAAGAGCAAAUGAAUCUGGGAGCUAUAGUUUGGGUCUUUGGGUUUGAUGCUUUGUAACUGGAUCUGUAAUGGCUUUUAGUCAAAUACAACAAAUGAAUGAUUGACUGACUGACUGACUGACUGAUGGAAAAGUGCUUUUUUACUGAGAUGCUAACUUUCUCUCUGCAUGCCAUUCCUUGAACAGCAAAGAUAAGGCUUGCUUUCAUUGCUCUGUUCAUUGGUGCAUUUGACUAGUGUUAUGUGGAGGGAAAUGCAGCCCCUGGGCUGAAAAAUGUCCCCCUCCUGCCCCCUUGGGUGUCCGGUGUGGCCUUCACAGAUAUAGACACAACUUGGGGGAGGGUGUUUUGGCUGCUGAGCUGCGCCCCCCCCCAUUGUGAGGGCUGAGGGUGUGAUGGUGAUGCCUCCCCAGCUGCUGCCAUUGUCUGUGGGUUGACUGUGAUGCCACAAAAACAUAAAUGUGGGCCAAGGCGCAAGCCUCAGCAGUUGCCCUCCCCAGAGAGAAAUGGGCAGCUUGGUGGCACUCAGCCCUGGUGGUCUCCUGCCCCGUGGCAGCAAGCUGACAAGUGGAAGGAGGCAAUCGCCUGGUGCUGGGAUGCUGUGGAGCAAGGAGAAGGCAAGUACAAAGUUGACUUGCUGGUGGGAUCGCUACCUGAAGGCGACGGAUAUUCAGCUCUGAAGCUGGUUGAUGUCUGGCAAUGGACCUGGCAAGGCUGCAGCUGGUGGGUGGUUGUUGGAAGAGUCUGCGUUCAGGCUAGUGGAUGCCGUGAGGCAGAGAUGGAUGCAAAGUGGUUUGGAAGCCUUAUUUGUUAACAGGCAGCCAAACAGAGGAGGAGUCUGGAGGGACACUGUUGGAUAGGGGCCAUCCCACUCACCUGUUUGCCUUUGCCUUACAGGGAUGUCCGGAGCCAGUGAGGUUUUCCCCAAGUCCAGCCUUCAAAAUCAUGAAGAGAACCGCAGGAUGUCCCUAUUUACAUUGGAGAAAUGAAUGUGAAAUACUGGCAGCGAACAAUGGACAAGGCCGUGGCCGUACCUGAGAGAAGGAGCUUUGAAGGGAGACUGCAGGCGGACAUCUGCUGCAUUGCAAGUGAUGGGGCAGUGGGGAGAGAGAAGAAAAUGAGGGAGGAUACAUUAGGGCACAUUAGGCGCACCGUCCAUUGGAAGUGCUAUGAAGACGCUUUGAACAGGAAUGGCUUCCCCUCAGGGAUUCUGGGAACUGUAGGUGGUUAAGGGGACAGAGAGUUGUUAGGCGGGUUAGGUUUAGGCUUAGGGUUAGGCUUAGG